rnacentral:siRNA from 1 species
UGUGCUUGUUUUACGCGUUUGC